UUCUUUUUUAACAUUUCUUUACGUUCUUUUGUUUCUUUUUUAAAAUUGGUGUCGAAGACUUGCAGCAACGUUUCAGCGCCAUCCCGUAUUUUGCACUCAACUUCGAGCUUUCCCUUCAAAUCCUCAAGUAACUUGAGCCUUUUUGAAUCAGUGGUAUUCAUUUUUUUGAUAAAGUCACCAUUAGUUUUGGCAUGGGAACUUAUAUCCAAAGCAGUAUCGGUUUGUCCCCUUCGCACAGGUUUCAUGAGCACUGAUCAUUAAAAGCAGGAAUAAAAAAGCUAUCUCCUUCCAUAAGCGCCUUCAUGAAAUAGCCUUAUAAAGGGAUAGUAUGUUUUCGUACUAAUACUUAUUGCGUGCAACACGCGAUUGCUUACUGGGCUAGUCAAACUCUCAAUUUUUAAGCAAUCUAGUAAAAUUAAAGAUAUUAACACUUAAAUAAUAACUUAAGAUUGUGAAGAGUCCUAAAAUGAUAAUGCUUGCGAACUAUGCUCGUAUGCUCAUGGAUACCCCAACGGCUGAACUUAAUCGGAGUUCUGUUACCGGCGUUAACGAUUGUACGACAUGGAGUGAUGUUUCGCUAUUAAUGGGCAAAACAAAUUUCCUUAGAAUUCGCUAAUAAAUAAUUAGAUACUAGGUACUGGUUCACUAAAGAAUCGAAUCCUUAAUGUUUACUUUACAGUCUCAAGAUUGCUAGUUAACAGUAUACGAAAACAUGAAGGAUAAAUCAAAGCAAGAGAAUAAGAUGAGUAAAUUAUAUUA